AGCGAACGCUGGCGGCAGGCUUAACACAUGCAAGUCGAGCGGGCAUCCUUGUGGUGUCAGCGGCAGACGGGUGAGUAACGCGUGGGAACGUGCCCUUCGGUUCGGAAUAGCUCAGGGAAACUUGAGCUAAUACCGGAUACGUGCGAGAGCAGAAAGGUUUAUCUGCCGAAGGAUCGGCCCGCGUCUGAUUAGCUAGUUGGUGAGGUUACGGCUCACCAAGGCGACGAUCAGUAGCUGGUCUGAGAGGAUGAUCAGCCACACUGGGACUGAGACACGGCCCAGACUCCUACGGGAGGCAGCAGUGGGGAAUAUUGGACAAUGGGGGCAACCCUGAUCCAGCCAUGCCGCGUGAGUGAUGACGGCCUUAGGGUUGUAAAGCUCUUUUCUCCGGGACGAUAAUGACGGUACCGGAGGAAUAAGCCCCGGCUAACUUCGUG
rnacentral:rRNA from 1 species